UGCACAGAGAACUCGGAGCUGUGUGAAGCAGCCCCGCCUUGGCCACUGGCCUUUCCUUACAAACAAAGGAGUAAAAGCCCCCACCUACACAUCUUCCCAUGCCCCAGCAGUGGGCGUAGCCUUGGUCAAGGAGAUGCAGAAACAGUGAGACAGCUGGGAAAACCUCCCUGGCCAGAGGGUGUGACUGCGAUGAGGGCUAGCGGAAGGAGCAGGGACCCUUGGAGGACAACAAGGGAAACAAGGCUUCCUGGAGAUGCGGGGGCACACGGGUCAUUGGUGAUUACUGAGAUUCCAGCUGUUGGACCUCUAGGGAGGAACCCCUGCCUAGGCCCGAACCUCCAGAGUGCUUGGAUUACAGGUAUGUCCUGCCAUCACCACAGUUAAUUUUACAACACUUUCAUCUCAAGAAGAAGAAGAAGAAGAAGAAGAAGAAGAAGAAGAAGAAGAAGAAGAAGAAGAAGAAGAAGAAGAAGAUAUUGAUUGCUAAGCAGUUAAGAGCAUUUGCUCUUUCGAAGGAUCAGUCUUAGGCGCUACCAGCUCUUCAUUGUGUUCUGUAUAAAUGCAGUCACGAUAGCAGCAGCUUGCCAGGACUGAUUUCUUUCACAUAUCAUGAAGUCUGUAAGGCCAUCCGUGUUGCCACAUGAAUCACUAUUUCUCUCCAAAAACUUCACUGUGGGAAAAUAUGCACAGAAUAGCAUGGCGUUUUAACUGCUUUCAGGUGCACACUUCACUGGUCAUCUCUGAAAUACAGGGUUUCUCUGUGGCUUUGGAGGUUGUCCUGGCAGUCGCUCUGGAGACCAGGUCUGUGACCCAAACACUCCAGAAUACAGAGUGAAGUAGGAGUCUGACUUCAUUCUUUACAUGUGGCAACCAGGUAGUCUCAGAGCCAUUUGCUGAAGAGACACUUAUUUCUAAAUUUUCGUUUUACUUAGUAUUGUUGUGUGUAUAUGAUAUAUGUGCUUGGGUUGCAUGUGGAGGUCAGAGGUCAAUUUCAUAGAGUUAGUUCUCUCCUGGGAUAGAACUCAGGUCAUCAGGCUUGUGCCGCAAGCACCUUUACCCACUAAGCCAUCUUGCUGGCCCUGAAGAGGUGACUUUUCUUCACAGAUAGACUUGACAUCUUGGUCAAAUCAAUUGAUCAUAGACAUGUGGUUUCCCUUCUGUCUCUCUACCCUGCGUCUCUUGUUCACACGUCUGUCCUUCUGGCAAUACGGCAUUGUUUCCAGUCUUUAUGGUUGUUUGGCUGCCUGGGGCUUUUUGAAGAUGGAUGUAAAUUUGAAGAUUGGCUUUAUUAUUUGUGCAGGAGAGCCUGCAGGAAUUGUGUGAGGCUUACCCGGAAUCUGCCAAGGUCUAUGCUCUUAGCAGUGUAGUCUUCCUGCUACCAGAGAUUUCAGGCUCAGACUUGAGCCCCGGAAGCUCUUGCACCCAUCCUCAAGGGGCCCAUUGAAGAGACUGAAGAACGGAGAUGGGAGAUUUAUUCUAUGUGGCCACAUUGGGAAGAAGAAAAAACAAAGGUCCAAUGCCACCCAAGUCUAUUUUAGGGGCUCGACAUGAGGCUUAGGUUUCAGUGGAGCUCGAGAGGUAUGCAUAACUAAGUGGUCCUGGUCCGGGCAUGGCUCUGCCUGUCAGUGACCCAUCAUUGUCUCUGUCCCAGUCUGUCCUACAGGAUGGUCUGAGGGAGUUAUCUGAAGUGUGCAGAAUCUCUUCCUGGGAGACAAGCUCCUCAUUUCUGACUGCACCAGGUCUCAGCCCCAUGCUGUGGGGAAACUAAUUCUUGGGGCCUAUAACUUAUGUCAAUAUCUGACACCUGUGCUAUCGUCCCCUUUAGGAUACUGUCUCUCCUGUCAGGACCAAUACAACCCCCUUCUCUUUGUUUCUAGACGUCAGUCUUGAGGGACUUGAAGUGAUAUGCUGGACUUGAUGUGAACAUUUCUGUGUCUGGAAUGAUCGUCAUAAACAGAAUAUGAGUAGCCACCCAGGCCAGAAGGCGUCGUUCAGUUAGCGUCAGCUCACCACGGGCAAGAACUGUUUCCUUCCUCUCUGCUCUGGAACUAGGGAGGGCAUGCACAGGUGGUUUCCUUUUGCUGCUGGGUUGAGACAAUGUCCUGCUAUGGAGCCCAGGCUAUCUAUGUAGCCAAGGCUGGCCUCCAGCUCAUGAGUCUCCCGCUGCCAAGUUAGUGGACAGUGGUGAAUGUCAGAGUUGGUGCAAACAAACCCUUUAUGACAAGUUUUAGGCAUGUCGUGGGUGUAGAAGGAGUGACUCUUAGCUCAGGCCUCCGGAGUCUGUUCUCGAAUUUAUUUUAAUUUUCUGAUAACUGA